UGUGCGAUGGUGUUAGUGCGAACUACCGUUAGGUACGUUGGCUGGGCCAAUCAAAACGCGCGACAAGAUCACGCGACGCGAAGUGGCUGGGCACAAGUAACGGGACUUACAACUGUGAACAAUUUGCUAACAAUUUGCUAACAAUUUGCUGUCGAUCCGCAGGCACGUCUGCACUCGUCGAGUGUUCGAUCGCGACUCCAUCUAAUUAGUGACGCGCAUGAAUGGAUUAACGAGAUUCCUACUGUCCCUAUCUACUAUCUAGCGAAACCACAGCCAAGGGAACGGGCUUGGAAUAAUUAGCGGGGAAAGAAGACCCUUUUGAGCUUGACUCUAAUCUGGCAGUGUAAGGAGACAUAAGAGGUGUAGAAUAAGUGGGAGAUAUUAGACCUCGGUUUGGUAUCGUCAAUGAAAUACCACUACUCUUAUUGUUUCCUUACUUACUUGAUUAAAUGGAACGUGUAUCAUUUCCUAGCCAUUAUACGGAUAUAUUUAUUAUAUCUUAUGGUAUUGGGUUUUGAUGCAAGCUUCUUGAUCAAAGUAUCACGAGUUUGUUAUAUAAUCGCAAACAAAUUCUUUAAUAAAACGAUGCAUUUAUGUAUUUUUGAUUUGAAAAUUUGGUAUAACUCCAAUUACUCAGGUAUGAUCCAAUUCAAGGACAUUGCCAGGUAGGGAGUUUGACUGGGGCGGUACAUCUCUCAAAUAAUAACGGAGGUGUCCCAAGGCCAGCUCAGUGCGGACAGAAACCACACAUAGAGCAAAAGGGCAAAUGCUGACUUGAUCUCGGUGUUCAGUACACACAGGGACAGCAAAAGCUCGGCCUAUCGAUCCUUUUGGUUUAAAGAGUUUUUAACAAGAGGUGUCAGAAAAGUUACCAUAGGGAUAACUGGCUUGUGGCGGCCAAGCGUUCAUAGCGACGUCGCUUUUUGAUCCUUCGAUGUCGGCUCUUCCGAUCAUUGGGAAGCAAAAUUCCCCAAGCGAAGGAUGGUUCACCCAUGCAAGGGAAGGUGAAUAGGGAAAGACCCUCAGAGACAUAGCAAUUUUACCAAAUAAAAGACAAAUCGAAA
rnacentral:ncRNA from 1 species